AGCUAGUCCGAGGGCAGUGGUGUUUGCAACUAAUUGAUCAUAACCAGUUACAGAUUCCUUUGUUACUUCUCACUAUCUCAUUUGACUAGCCUUUA
ensembl:misc_RNA Y_RNA Y RNA